rnacentral:tRNA from 1 species
GGAGUGGUGGUUCAGUGGUAGAAUUCUCACCUUGCGUGUGGAAGACCCAGGUUCAGUUCCUGGCCCGUGCA